rfam:Fistulina hepatica ATCC 64428 unplaced genomic scaffold FISHEscaffold_242, whole genome shotgun sequence.
ACAUCAGUGGUGAAACGGUUAUCAUGCCUGCCUUCCAUCAUGACAACAGAUACCAUCUAAGCAGGCGGCGGGGGUUCGACUCCCUCCUGAUGUA